AUAUUUACCUAGCAGGGGAGAUAAAAUGAUCAAGAAGGUGGUUUUCUCAGGGCGAGGCUUAUCCAUUGCAUUCCGGAUGUGCUGACCCCUGCGAUUUCCCCAAAUGUGGGAAACUCGACUGCAUAAUUUGUGGUAGUAAGUGGGGGGGAGGGGGGGAUUUUUACCUCUUU
ensembl:snRNA U1 U1 spliceosomal RNA